CUCAGGUCUACCCUGGUGACCCCAGGUGCACCCGCUACCCCUGGUGGUGGGAAGUCGCAUCCGGGUGACUACCAGUGAGCCCCAGUGGCUGCCCAAGUCCGGCUGGGCCUCUAGGCCACAAGAGAGUGAACCAAGAUGGCUGGCAGGCCCUCAGUUCCUGGCCCCGGUGCCGCAGAGCCUGGCCGGGGAGACUGGAAGAGCAAGGAAGUGGCCUUGGUGAAGGUGAGGCUUUGAGCGUCCUGCUGCAUCGCCCCCAUCCGAUUUCUCCUUCUUUGCCUUCAGACUCCUUCCCAGAUCCCUUCCGAGAGAUGUGUGUGAGGCCAGCAUGCAAAGUCCGCCAGCCUCACUUUCUACACCGCAGUCCCUGCGCGCACCUGGCAACAGUCCUGUCUGCUUUGCAUCGCACCUCCAGGAAGAGCCAGUGCUCCAGAGAUUACACCUGAGCCCUAUCAGCAAUUGUGUACUUAAAGACUAGAGGCUUCCCCGUGCAGCCCUGCCCUAGCCACGCUGCCCUGGCUCUAGUGGUCAAACUUCAUGGGUUGGCGGUGGUUGUAGACUCUCUGGGGAGCUGUUUUUUCACAGCAAGUUUUGAGGAAGUCAGAAGUGGGGCGUUUACUCACACCUCCUCUCACCUCUUCGGGGAAGAGGAAGGAAUGGGAUAGGGUGGAGCCAGGUGGGACUUGGAAGAGGCCGAGGAAGUGAGGGUGGGACCAGGUAGGGUGGGGAGGGGUGGGGUUUGUGCCGCAGGAAGUGCGGUAUAACUGGAUGUUGUGCUGGAAACACUUGGACACCGCUGCAUGAAUACAGCACUGUAAUGUAUAACAGAACAUAAAACUACAGUACUGUACUGUACAGUACAAUCAGCAAAAAUUACUGUACUCGUGGAAGCCACCAUAAGCCUGGAGUAAAUCCGAAUGUGGAUGGGUCAGAACAGCUGCCAUCACCAG
rnacentral:lncRNA from 1 species